GGAUAACUCCGGGAAACCGGGGCUAAUACCGGAUGCUUGUUUGAACCGCAUGGUUCAAACAUAAAAGGUGGCUUCGGCUACCACUUACAGAUGGACCCGCGGCGCAUUAGCUAGUUGGUGAGGUAAUGGCUCACCAAGGCAACGAUGCGUAGCCGACCUGAGAGGGUGAUCGGCCACACUGGGACUGAGACACGGCCCAGACUCCUACGGGAGGCAGCAGUAGGGAAUCUUCCGCAAUGGACGAAAGUCUGACGGAGCAACGCCGCGUGAGUGAUGAAGGUUUUCGGAUCGUAAAGCUCUGUUGUUAGGGAAGAACAAGUACCGUUCGAAUAGGGCGGUACCUUGACGGUACCUAACCAGAAAGCCACGGCUAACUACGUGCCAGCAGCCGCGGUAAUACGUAGGUGGCAAGCGUUGUCCGGAAUUAUUGGGCGUAAAGGGCUCGCAGGCGGUUUCUUAAGUCUGAUGUGAAAGCCCCCGGCUCAACCGGGGAGGGUCAUUGGAAACUGGGGAACUUGAGUGCAGAAGAGGAGAGUGGAAUUCCACGUGUAGCGGUGAAAUGCGUAGAGAUGUGGAGGAACACCAGUGGCGAAGGCGACUCUCUGGUCUGUAACUGACGCUGAGGAGCGAAAGCGUGGGGAGCGAACAGGAUUAGAUACCCUGGUAGUCCACGCCGUAAACGAUGAGUGCUAAGUGUUAGGGGGUUUCCGCCCCUUAGUGCUGCAGCUAACGCAUUAAGCACUCCGCCUGGGGAGUACGGUCGCAAGACUGAAACUCAAAGGAAUUGACGGGGGCCCGCACAAGCGGUGGAGCAUGUGGUUUAAUUCGAAGCAACGCGAAGAACCUUACCAGGUCUUGACAUCCUCUGACAAUCCUAGAGAUAGGACGUCCCCUUCGGGGGCAGAGUGACAGGUGGUGCAUGGUUGUCGUCAGCUCGUGUCGUGAGAUGUUGGGUUAAGUCCCGCAACGAGCGCAACCCUUGAUCUUAGUUGCCAGCAUUCAGUUGGGCACUCUAAGGUGACUGCCGGUGACAAACCGGAGGAAGGUGGGGAUGACGUCAAAUCAUCAUGCCCCUUAUGACCUGGGCUACACACGUGCUACAAUGGACAGAACAAAGGGCAGCGAAACCGCGAGGUUAAGCCAAUCCCACAAAUCUGUUCUCAGUUCG
rnacentral:rRNA from 3 species